GUUAGUGAAGUAUUAACCACUGAACAAAAUGUCAGUCAGAAAGCAAUUCUUUAGUGCUUGGAAAAAGCAUUAUAAUAUUUUGUCUGUACCAUUCUAUACCAUAAUUAUGAUUGUGGUAGAAGAAAUAAUGGAGACUGAAUUUAAAUGUCCUCAGCAGGCAAGAUUAAAGCUUUACUACGUUAUGUCCUAUUUUUUGCUUCCAGUUUCAAUUAUAUUUUUCCUGAGCUUGAUCUUCCAGCCUUCCUGCAUCCCCUGGGCUCGCUGCAUGAAGAAAUACUCAGUUUCGCAGAAAGCUGAAAUAAUUUGCAGAGCACUUUUACCUCCUCUACUUUGGUGUGUGAUCCUGCUGUUGGAUGGAAGAUACAUUGACUGCGUGAUUUCAAUAAAUGAAGGAAACAGGACUCAAAAGACAACACAAAACACAGCAACGGAAUCACCUACUGUUGCCUACAUGCUCUCCCAGGUUUCUGGGCUGCUUGUUCUUACUGUUCUUGUCAUUGCUUAUGGCCUGUACACUGUAUAUCCAUUUUGGUUCUGCUGUAAUGAUGAAGAAGGACAUGGAAGAGAGCAGAUGGAGCUCCUAUUAGAGGAAAAAACAGAGGAAUAUAUUAAAGAAAGCACGACAGAGAAUGCACAGCAGAUAAUUAAGCAGCAUCUGGAGCCUACAAUCAAGCCUCUCCUCAUAGAGUAUUUGGGAAAAACAGAUUUUAAAAAACUGUGGGAAAAUACAGGGAAGUCUAUGAAGUAUCUUGCUGAGAAGUGGUGGAACGACGAAGGACAGGAGUUGACUGCUGUCUCUUCUCCAACUUAAAAUGUGCCACUUAUUAAGUGUCUUACAGCAACAUAACUUUCUGAGCACAAGCGUCAGCAUCUAGCUCACCAUUAAAGGGAGAUCACAAAUUAAGAUGCCUCAUUCAUCCUCAGGUGAAUCAGCCUUCUGGAAGGCUUAGUAUCCAGCUUUAUUGAAGGAAAAACUUUGACCUGUUGCUCAGAAGAGGGCAGACAGGGAAUGAACAUUAAUCAGAAGAACACACCCUUGGCCUCUAGAGACAAGGUUUGAACCUGUGACUCAAUUGUACUGUGCUUUUCCACCCAAGUGGAGCUCAGCUCCCUUCAGUGCAUAUCGGGAAUUUGGGGUCUUUUGCUCUGUUCUUUCAAAUUGUAUUCACUUUUAUGGAGUUUUACAGGACUCUGAAGUGAUGGUGGAAUUCCCAGCUUGCCUUUGACAAAGACAGUCUCGCUCCAGAUGAAUUACAGGCUCAGAUUUCUAUGAGCAGGGCAAUCCUUUCCUUUCAGGAAUUCAGCCAACUCCUCUCUUUAUGACCUUGUGUGAGGGGAUGGUGACACAUGUUUGGGUGGGAAAUUAAAGUUGGGCUGGAAAAAUA